GGAAGCUUGGCAGAGUGGUCGAUUGCACCGGUCUUGAAAACCGGCAACCCGAAAGGGUUCCAGGGUUCGAAUCCCUGAGCUUCCGCCA
rnacentral:tRNA from 1 species